ACAAGUACCGUGAGGGAAAGUUGCAAAGCACUUUGAAGAGAGAGUUAAAGAGGACGUGAAACCGAUAAGGUGGAAACGGAUAGAGCUGACGUAUCUGGCCUGUAUUCAGCCGAAUGGCUGUUUCUCUCUGGCUGGUUAGUCCUGCUUUUGGCUGACUGGUUAGUGUUGAAACGGUUUUACCGGUGCAUUUGCAGGUGGUGUGCGCUGAAGCUUGUACUGUGCAUCGGCUGGAUAGUUGCUUUGAGGUCUUCCUUCGGGCAAGAAACCCUAGCAUCUGGAAAGCUGUAUGUGGUGCGAGUAUGUAAGUCUACGGCUUACGGUUGAGCUGGCGGUUGGUUCUUCCUGGGGUUAUGGUCGCAUGCGACUGUGCCUUGGUGGGUUCUGACUGUUGGUUAGGCCUCGUAGAAUUCUUCGGUGUAAAAGUUGGUCAUCUAUCCGACCCGUCUUGAAACACGGACCAAGGAGUUUAACGAGUGCGCGAGUCAUUGGGUGUGAAAACUCAAAGGCGCAAUGAAAGUAAAGGCUUCGCUUGACGAGCUAAUAUGCGACCUCGGUGGCUUCGGCCACUGGGAGCAGCAUAGCCCCGUCUCGACUGCUUGCAGUGGGGCGGAGGAAGAGCGUACUCGCUGAGACCCGAAAGAUGGUGAACUAUGCCUGAGCAGGACGAAGCCAGAGGAAACUCUGGUGGAAGUCCGGAGCGGUUCUGACGUGCAAAUCGAUCGUCUGACUUGGGUAUAGGGACGAAAGAUCAAUCGAACUAUCUAGUAGCUGGUUCCUUCCG
rnacentral:rRNA from 1 species